rnacentral:rRNA from 1 species
GGGAGGCAGCAGUGGGGAAUAUUGGACAAUGGGCGAGAGCCUGAUCCAGCCAUGCCGCGUGCAGGAAGACGGUCCUAUGGAUUGUAAACUGCUUUUAUACGGGAAGAACAAAGGGCACGUGUGCCCCUCUGACGGUACCGUAAGAAUAAGGAUCGGCUAACUCCGUGCCAGCAGCCGCGGUAAUACGGAGGAUCCAAGCGUUAUCCGGAAUCAUUGGGUUUAAAGGGUCCGUAGGCGGGCCAUUAAGUCAGGGGUGAAAGUCUGCAGCUCAACUGUAGAAUUGCCCUUGAUACUGAUGGUCUUGAGUUAUAGUGAAGUAACUAGAAUAUGUAGUGUAGCGGUGAAAUGCAUAGAUAUUACAUAGAAUACCGAUUGCGAAGGCAGGUUACUAACUAUAUACUGACGCUGAUGGACGAAAGCGUGGGGAGCGAACAGGAUUAGAUACCCUGGUAGUCCACGCCGUAAACGAUGGAUACUAGCUGUCCGGAUGCAAAUCUGGGCGGCCAAGCGAAAGUGAUAAGUAUCCCACCUGGGGAGUACGUCCGCAAGGAUGAAACUCAAAGG